GUAGGUGGCAAGCGUUGUCCGGGAAUUAUUGGGGCGUAAAGCGCGCGCAGGCGGUUCUUUAAGUCUGAUGUGAAAGCCCACGGGCUCAACCGUGGGAGGGUCAUUGGAAACUGGAGAACUUGAGUACAGAAGAGGAAAGCGGAAUUCCACGUGUAGCGGUGAAAUGCGUAGAGAUGUGGAGGAACACCAGUGGCGAAGGCGGCUCUCUGGUCUGUAACUGACGCUGAGGCGCGAGAGCGUGGGGAGCAAACAGGAUUAGAUACCCUGGUAGUCCACGCCGUAAACGAUGAGUGCUAAGUGUUAGGGGGUUUCCGCCCCUUAGUGCUGCAGCUAACGCAUUAAGCACUCCGCCUGGGGAGUACGGCCGCAAAGGCUG
rnacentral:rRNA from 1 species